rnacentral:tRNA from 1 species
ACAUUGGUGGUGCAGUGAUAGAGUUCUCUCCUUCCACAUGGGAGACCUGGGUUCCAUUCCCGGCCAAUGUG